AAUGAACGUUGGCGGCGUGGAUUAGGCAUGCAAGUCGAGCGCGAACCCCGCAAGGGGUGAAAGCGGCGAAAGGGAGAGUAACGCGUGGGUAUUUACCCUCGGGACUGGGAUAGCUGCGGGAAACUGCAGGUAAUACCAGAUGACGUCCCCGGACCAAAGGUGUGAUUCCGCCUGAGGAUAAGCUCGCGUCCUAUUAGCUAGUUGGUGAGGUAAUGGCUCACCAAGGCAAUGAUGGGUACUGGGUGUGAGAGCACGACCCAGCUCACUGGGACUGAGACACUGCCCAGACACCUACGGGUGGCUGCAGUCGGGAAUCUUCGGCAAUGGGCGCAAGCCUGACCGAGCGACGCCGCGUGUGGGAUGAAGGCCUUCGGGUUGUAAACCGCUGUCAGAGGGGAGGAAUGGGCGGAGGGUAAUCUCUUCGUUUUGACCUAUCCUCAGAGGAAGUACGGGCUAAGUUCGUGCCAGCAGCCGCAGUAA
rnacentral:rRNA from 1 species